rnacentral:rRNA from 1 species
GAUUAACGCUGGCGGCGUGCCUAAUACAUGCAAGUCGAACGGGGUAGCAAUACCUAGUGGCGCACGGGUGAGGAACGCGUGGAUAAUCUGCCUUAGAGUGGGGGAUAACUAGUCGAAAGAUUAGCUAAUACCGCAUAAGACCACAGGAGCUGCGGCUCUAGGGGUCAAAGGUUUUUCGCUCUAAGAUGAGUCCGCGUAAGAUUAGCUAGUUGGUGAGGUAACGGCUCACCAAGGCGACGAUCUUUAACUGGUCUGAGAGGAUGAUCAGUCACACUGGAACUGAGACACGGUCCAGACUCCUACGGGAGGCAGCAGUAGGGAAUAUUGCACAAUGGAGGAAACUCUGAUGCAGCGACGCCGCGUGAGUGAUGAAGGCCUUCGGGUCGUAAAGCUCUGUCGCAGGGGAAUAACACAAUGAAUGUACCCUGUAAGAAAGGAUCGGCUAACUUCGUGCCAGCCGCCGCCGUAA